GACGAACGCUGGCGGCGUGCUUAACACAUGCAAGUCGAACGGAAAGGCCCUGCUUUUGUGGGGUGCUCGAGUGGCGAACGGGUGAGUAACACGUGAGUAACCUGCCCUUGACUUUGGGAUAACUUCAGGAAACUGGGGCUAAUACCGGAUAGGAGCUCCUGCUGCAUGGUGGGGGUUGGAAAGUUUCGGCGGUUGGGGAUGGACUCGCGGCUUAUCAGCUUGUUGGUGGGGUAGUGGCUUACCAAGGCUUUGACGGGUAGCCGGCCUGAGAGGGUGACCGGCCACAUUGGGACUGAGAUACGGCCCAGACUCCUACGGGAGGCAGCAGUGGGGAAUAUUGCACAAUGGGCGGAAGCCUGAUGCAGCAACGCCGCGUGCGGGAUGACGGCCUUCGGGUUGUAAACCGCUUUCGCCUGUGACGAAGCGUGAGUGACGGUAAUGGGUAAAGAAGCACCGGCUAACUACGUGCCAGCAGCCGCGGUGAUACGUAGGGUGCGAGCGUUGUCCGGAUUUAUUGGGCGUAAAGGGCUCGUAGGUGGUUGAUCGCGUCGGAAGUGUAAUCUUGGGGCUUAACCCUGAGCGUGCUUUCGAUACGGGUUGACUUGAGGAAGGUAGGGGAGAAUGGAAUUCCUGGUGGAGCGGUGGAAUGCGCAGAUAUCAGGAGGAACACCAGUGGCGAAGGCGGUUCUCUGGGCCUUUCCUGACGCUGAGGAGCGAAAGCGUGGGGAGCGAACAGGCUUAGAUACCCUGGUAGUCCACGCUGUAAACGGUGGGUACUAGGUGUGGGGUCCAUUCCACGGGUUCCGUGCCGUAGCUAACGCUUUAAGUACCCCGCCUGGGGAGUACGGCCGCAAGGCUAAAACUCAAAGGAAUUGACGGGGCCCCGCACAAGCGGCGGAGCAUGCGGAUUAAUUCGAUGCAACGCGUAGAACCUUACCUGGGUUUGACAUGGAUCGGGAGCGCUCAGAGAUGGGUGUGCCUCUUUUGGGGUCGGUUCACAGGUGGUGCAUGGCUGUCGUCAGCUCGUGUCGUGAGAUGUUGGGUUAAGUCCCGCAACGAGCGCAACCCUUGUUCACUGUUGCCAGCACGUUAUGGUGGGGACUCAGUGGAGACCGCCUGGGUCAACUCGGAGGAAGGUGGGGAUGACGUCAAGUCAUCAUGCCCCUUAUGUCCAGGGCUUCACGCAUGCUACAAUGGCUGGUACAGAGAGUGGCGAGCCUGUGAGGGUGAGCGAAUCUCGGAAAGCCGGUCUCAGUUCGGAUUGGGGUCUGCAACUCGACCUCAUGAAGUCGGAGUCGCUAGUAAUCGCAGAUCAGCAACGCUGCGGUGAAUACGUUCCCGGG
rnacentral:rRNA from 1 species